AUUGAACGCUGGCGGCAUGCCUUACACAUGCAAGUCGAACGGCAGCAUGAGCUAGCUUGCUCGCUUGCUGGCGCGUGGCGCGCGUGUGUGUCAUACAUCUGACCUUGCUCUGUGGCGGGGGAUAACUAGUCGAAAGAUUAGUUAUUCCCGCAUACGUCUUGAGGGUGAUAGUGCGGUACUGCAAGACGGCUUUCUUUAGACGUGUCCGGUGCCCGAUUAGCUAGUUGGUGGGGUAAAGGCUUACCAAGGCGACGAUCAGUAGCGGGUCUGAGAGGACGAUCAGCCACACUGGAACUGAGACACGGCCCAGACUCCUACGGGAGGCAGCAGUGGGGAAUUUUGGGCAAUGGGGGCAACCCUGAUCGAGCAAUGCCGCGUGUGUGAAGAAGGCCUUCGGGUUGUAAAGCACUGUUGUCAGGAAAGAAAACGCACUUACUAAUAUUAGGAGGGGAUGACGGUACCGGAAGAAUAAGGACCGGCUAACUACGUG
rnacentral:rRNA from 1 species